UGGGGAAUUUUGGACAAUGGGGGCAACCCUGAUCCAGCCAUGCCGCGUGAGUGAAGAAGGCCUUCGGGUUGUAAAGCUCUUUCGGCGGGGACGAAACGGUCCGUGACAACACCACGGACUAAUGACAGUACUCGCAGAAGAAGCACCGGCUAACUACGUGCCAGCAGUCGCGGUAAUACGUAGGGUGCAGGCGUUAAUCGGAAUUACUGGGCGUAAAGGGCUCGUAGGUGGCCAACUAAGUCAGACGUGAAAUCCCUCGGCUUAACCGGGGAACUGCGUCUGAUACUGGAUGGCUUGAGUUUGGGAGAGGGAUGCGGAAUUCCAGGUGUAGCGGUGAAAUGCGUAGAUAUCUGGAGGAACACCGGUGGCGAAGGCGGCUCACUGGUCCGGUACUGACGCUGAGGUGCGAAAGCGUGGGGAGCAAACAGGAUUAGAUACCCGAGUAGUCCCUGAGCGGGC
rnacentral:rRNA from 1 species